rnacentral:rRNA from 1 species
AACGGCCGUAUCAUACUGAAUAUACCGGUUCUCGUUCGAUCACCGAAGUUAAGCAUCAUUGGGCGCGGUCAGUACUUGGGUGGGUGACCACCUGGGAACACUGCGUGCCGUU